rnacentral:rRNA from 1 species
GAUGAACGCUGGCGGCGUGCUUAACACAUGCAAGUCGAACGGAAAGGCUCCUGCUUGCCGGGGUACUCGAGUGGCGAACGGGUGAGUAACACGUGGGUGAUCUGCCCUGCACUUCGGGAUAAGCCUGGGAAACUGGGUCUAAUACCGGAUAGGACCACAUUUUGGAUGGUGUGGUGGAAAGUUUUUCGGUGUGGGAUGAGCUCGCGGCCUAUCAGCUAGUUGGUGGGGUAAUGGCCUACCAAGGCGUCGACGGGUAGCCGGCCUGAGAGGGUGUACGGCCACAUUGGGACUGAGAUACGGCCCAGACUCCUACGGGAGGCAGCAGUGGGGAAUAUUGCACAAUGGGCGCAAGCCUGAUGCAGCGACGCCGCGUGGGGGAUGACGGCCUUCGGGUUGUAAACUCCUUUCGCUAGGGACGAAGCGCAAGUGACGGUACCUGGAGAAGAAGCACCGGCUAACUACGUG